GCUGCAAGAAGAAGAAGGAUUUCACAUUUCUUCAUGUGUCAGUCAUCUUGAGGACGCCAUCUUUCUCCACCAAAACACAGAAUGAGAAAACUAAGUUCCAGGAGGGAACUUAAUCCAAGAUACACAAAGGAUGUCACAUAAGCCAUAGUUAUCUUUGUGAUGACAUUUCUGCUUAUGUUCAUCUUGAACACAUCAAGGCGAAAACACAAAAUUUCCCACAAAAUGAUGUUUCUUCGAUUUGUAACUAUGCCCAAAAGGUCUU